AUGACUUUGAUCUGCGUCCUCAUCUGGACUCUCCUCUGCUGCUGCUUCACAGAGUCCAGAGGACAGAUCACAGUGACUCAGCCUGGAGCAGUGAGCUCUGCUGUGGGAGGAUCUGUGAACAUCAAGUGUAGGACCAGUCAGAAUGUUUAUGGCUCCAGCUAUUUACACUGGUACCAACAGAAAGAUGGAGGAGUUCCUAAACUUCUCAUUUAUGCUGCUAGCUAUCGAGCAUCAGGGAUUCCAGCUCGUUUUACAGGCAGUGGAUCAAACUCUGACUUCACUCUGACCAUCAGUGGAGUCCAGGCUGAAGAUGCAGCAGUUUAUUACUGUCAGAGUUAUCACUACAUCAACAGUCAGUAUGUGUUCACACAGUGA